CACGUAGGGGACGAGCGUUGUCCGGAUUCAUUGGGCGUAAAGCGCGCGUAGGCGGCUCGGAAAGUCGGGCGUGAAAUGCCGGGGCUCAACCCCGGAACUGCAUUCGAUACUGCUGCGCUAGAGUACUGGAGAGGAGAUUGGAAUUUACGGUGUAGCAGUGAAAUGCGUAGAUAUCGUAAGGAAGACCAGUGGCGAAGGCGGAUCUCUGGACAGUUACUGACACUGAGGCACGAAGGCCAGGGGAGCAAACGGG
rnacentral:rRNA from 1 species